UGGGGAAUAUUGCACAAUGGGCGCAAGCCUGAUGCAGCAACGCCGCGUGAGGGACGACGGCCUUCGGGUUGUAAACCUCUUUUAGUAGGGAAGAAGCGAAAGUGACGGUACCUGCAGAAAAAGCACCGGCUAACUACGUGCCAGCAGCCGCGGUAAUACGUAGGGUGCGAGCGUUGUCCGGAAUUAUUGGGCGUAAAGAGCUCGUAGGCGGUCUGUCGCGUCUGCUGUGAAAACCCGAGGCUCAACCUCGGGCCUGCAGUGGGUACGGGCAGACUAGAGUGCGGUAGGGGAGAAUGGAAUUCCUGGUGUAGCGGUGGAAUGCGCAGAUAUCAGGAGGAACACCGAUGGCGAAGGCAGUUCUCUGGGCCGUAACUGACGCUGAGGAGCGAAAGCGUGGGGAGCGAACAGGAUUAGAUACCCUGGUAGUCCACGCCGUAAACGUUGGGCGCUAGAUGUGGGGACCAUUCCACGGUUUCCGUGUCGCAGCUAACGCAUUAAGCGCCCGCUGGGGAGUACGGCCGCAAGGCUAAAACUUGAAAGGAAUUGACGGGGUCAUAGCUGUUUCCU
rnacentral:rRNA from 1 species